rnacentral:lncRNA from 1 species
AUCAUUCACUAUUCUCGAACUUGAAGAUAGGGUGGAUUUCCAUCAGUGACAUUUAGAUCCGCUACCCAAUCACAAUAGUAAAUAUUAUCCUCAAAGCAGCACUAUCAUUACUAUGACAAUAAAUAACCUAAAGGAAAGACAGCAAAGUAUUAGACAGAGUUAGCAUACUCUUUAUUCUUGAGGAAAAAAUCAAGUGGAUUUAAUAAGUAAUAGCCUCAUCCCUGGUUAUAGUGUUACUGUACCUCACUGAAUCAUUAAUUACAGGAUUAUUAUUGUGCUGUUUGUUGUUUUUUAAAGGAAAGUGUAUACCUUGUCUCUGCAGCACAACUAUUAACUCUGUGACAUGCCAGCAUGUUUGGCAACAUGCAAGCAGUUUCUGAUUCCCGAGAGCAUGAGUCCAGCGCAAGUUGUAAACACCAGACCCUUCUCUAUGAUUCUCACAGACUACAGAUAAAACAGAUUUGCUGUGCCUGCUGGGUAAAUGCAAAGCAGUCAACCACAGCAUGUUUGCUGUCUGCUCCAACUGAGAAGAGGAUAUCAGUAGACUAUCUGUUUGAGACUUGGAGAAAAGAAGGACCAACUGUUUGUUAGUGGAAGUGGUAUGCCUGCAAAUAAAAGGCAAAAUGAGAUGAACUGAGCACCUGUGCAAACCAGAGCAGUGAUUGCAACAGCAUGCAGUUAUACGAUGUGUACCUGGCACUGUACUGCACGGAUGUCAGGCUUAAAAUACCAACACCAAGGUCCUAAUUAAAACAUGCAUGUUGUUUGGCAACCAGUAGCUUUUGAAAUCAAGGAUUCACAGGAUCAGGCUUUUCUCUCAGAUCUCGUCUCCUCUACAUUCCAAGUGUAUGUUCAAGGCAUGUGUGCUAUUUGAUUUCUAAAUGUAUUUACUUUUUUUUUUUUUUAAUGUAUUAUGCCUAAUAUCUCCAGAGGAGUUUGUAUUCAAAUCAUGAUCAGAAAUUCUGUUUUUCUAGGAACUGAUUGAUUCCUUUUUGAUGAAAUUUGGACAUUGAUUGAAAGUGCAGAAGAAGAGUAAUAUCACCUCAGGUUUACUUCUGAGGAAUGCAGUAAAUAGAUACUCCAUGCUUUAACCCCAAUGACUCCAACGAAAAAUUGAUGUACAAAUCUAUGAAGAACAGUCUGGAAAAGAAUAGCACAAGGAACACAGGUACCAAAACAUUUGUGCACGUAUCUGUUGGGGCUGGUUGUGUAUUUCCAAAAAACAAAACUUACUUUAAAAUAUUCUACAGCAGAAAGAAACCAUUUUGGAUCUUUAUCACUUAAGGACAUCAUCACUUCUUUUUCCUAUAUCCUUUCUCUGAUUUUACUUUCAAUAUUUGUUUUGGAAUCAUUUUUUUCUUCUCUUCCUCUUCUCCUGGAAAAUUAUUACAAAAAUAACCAGAAACAAGCAAUAAUUAUAUUAACGCAUUACAAAAUAGGGUAUUCUUAGAACCAGAAAUACAACAAAGCAACCUGUUUGUGGCUAAUUUCCUGGAUAGGAGAGAGAGCUCAGGGUGUGACUG